rnacentral:misc_RNA from 1 species
AAGUCGUAACAAGGUUUCCGUAGGUGAACCUGCGGAAGGAUCAUUAUCGAAUAAACUUGGCGUGGUUGUUGCUGGCUUCUAGGAGCAUGUGCACACCCGUCACCUUUAUCUUUCCACCUGUGCACACUUUGUAGGCUCUGGGAUUAUCUCUCGCGCACUCUUGUAGUGUUGCGGAUGCGAAGGUUGUCGCGCCCUCACAGGCCGGCUUCCCUCGAAUGUCCCAGGUCUAUGUUUAUUAACACACCCCUAUCGAAUGUAUAAAAGAAUGUUGAUUUCAAAGGGCUCUGCCCAUAUAGAAACUCAAUACAACUUUCAGCAACGGAUCUCUUGGCUCUC